rnacentral:rRNA from 1 species
GAAUGNACUCUCGAGCAGCGGCAUACACAUGCAAUCGACGGUAACAGGAAGCAGCUUGCUGCUUCGCUGACGAGUGGCGGACGGGUGAGUAAUGUCUGGGAAACUGCCUGAUGGAGGGGGAUAACUACUGGAAACGGUGGCUAAUACCGCAUAACGUCGCAAAGACCCAAAGAGGGGGACCUUCGGGCCUCUUGCCAUCAGAUGUGCCCAGAUGGGAUUAGCUUGUUGGUGAGGUAACGGCUCACCAAGGCGACGAUCCCUAGCUGGUCUGAGAGGAUGACCAGCCACACUGGAACUGAGACACGGUCCAGACUCCUACGGGAGGCAGCAGUGGGGAAUAUUGCACAAUGGGCGCAAGCCUGAUGCAGCCAUGCCGCGUGUAUGAAGAAGGCCUUCGGGUUGUAAAGUACUUUCAGCGGGGAGGAAGGUGUUGUGGUUAAUAACCGCAGCAAUUGACGUUACCCGCAGAAGAAGCACCGGCUAACUCCGUGCCAGCAGCCGCGGUAAUACGGAGGGUGCAAGCGUUAAUCGGAAUUACUGGGCGUAAAGCGCACGCAGGCGGUCUGUCAAGUCGGAUGUGAAAUCCCCGGGCUCACCUGGGGACUGCAUUCGAAACUGGCAGGCUGAGUCUGUAGAGGGGGGUAGAAUCCAGGUGUAGCGGUGAAAGCGUAGAGAUCUGGAGGAAUACCGGGUGCGAAGGCGGCCCCCUGGACAAAGACUGACGCUCAGGUCGAAAGCNUGGGAACAACAGAUNAUCUGGUUAAAAAAAAAA